rfam:Brassica napus, WGS project CCCW01000000 data, contig: 14876
GGAAGUUAAGAAAUUUUUUCUUAAUUUUUAACUAAAAAAAUUAAGAACCGGUUCUUAAAUAAGGAUUCUAAAAACUGGUUCUUAGUUUUUUAGUUAAAAGUUAAGAAACAAUUUCUUAACUUCC